CGUCCUCUGCCGACGGCGGUGAGGACGGCGUGACCGCGCUGGCCAAGAAGAAACGCCCGGCCCCUCCCCGGGCCCACCAGCCACCCCCCCCUCCUGACACUGCAGUCGCUCCAGCAGCUUCCUGACCGAGGUUUCCCGAGGACCACUGCUGACCCCGCAGUCGGCGGGCCGGCCCACGCUGUCGCCCUCCACGGCGGGUAUCCCCGGGUUCUGGCGUUGCUCUUGAAGGUCGGAAACCACGCUGAGGGCUAGUCUUCGGGACGCGUCCGGUCUUUAUUCUUGUGGGAAUUUCACGGGCUCCUCUGGCCCACGGUCUCCACACGGCAGCCCUGGGCUUCUCUGUGCAAGUGCAGCCACGGAACUGCUCGGCCAUCGGCCACGCUUGCCAGCACCUCGGGGCAGGGCUUAACGCAACGAAGAAUUCUGGACGGCAACUGUACGUGCCCCACAAAGGCUACAUUAUCUACCCCCUGGCCCUUUACAGAGAAGUCUGUCGCCCCAGGAUCUGCGUCCUCCAACAUCCGGCUCUCGUGCGGGAAGCGAGCGGGUGCUCAGUCUGCCAGGCUGGCUCGUGGUGGGACAGAUGGCCACGUCCUCCAGCCUCUGCCUGGGUGUCACGGACGCCAGCGUUGUCCGGUCAGCCCCCUCUGACAAAGAGCACGGGGCCUCCCGCACGCAGCAGGUUCUCUGUCCUCCCUCAGAAGCCCUCCUUUUCAGGAUGACACUUCUGGUGUCAGGAUGACACCCUGUCUUAAAUGUUCCAGAAGCAAGCACAGGUGUUUGGCCAGCGCAGGGGGAGGGCCGGCCCGGCCGUGCGGGGAGGGGCCGCUGAGAUCCGAAGCGCGCACAGAAACCGCACAGACGUGAAGCACGACGGCCUGUGUUCCCAGCGCAGGGCAAGAGCGGGGAGCGUGUGGCCGCGCGAGGAGACCCCUGCCGGGCAGGCCUGUCCCCCGCUGCAGCCCCGCUCGGCCCGCUCUUGUGUUCCAGACCCCGGGAAUCACCACCUGUGCCCCUCUGGACCCGACUGUGGCUCAGCCUCGUAUUUAACGUUGGCCUGGGCCUGGGCAUUCACGCUGCUGUGUGGAAUUUCGCUGCAAGGAAUUUUCUCGAUUUUUUCAAGAUUUCAAGUAUUUACUAUACGCGGGCCGAAGGCUCGAACUCACAACCCCAGGAUCAAGAGCCGCACGCUCCACGGACCUUCAGUCCCCGCCGGCCCUGUUCUCGAGGCUCCACGUCUUCCGUGGGCAGUCACCCCCCGGCCUCCGCUUACCGGCCCCCGCGGUGUUUCUCCUCCCCGGGCCUGCUCGGUCCCUGUGGGCUUGCGCUUUGCUUUUGCGGAGUGGUAUUUGGGGAGGAGGCCAAAAGCACAGGUUCAGGUUGCAAUCUGUAUGCAGAGGUCCCUAUUUUCUGCAUUGUCUCUAGUGAAUUCCUGCUGCGCUUUUAGAAUUAAAAGAACAAAAUCAAGUAACUCAAAA